rnacentral:rRNA from 1 species
CCUACGGGAGGCAGCAGUGGGGAAUAUUGCACAAUGGGGGAAACCCUGAUGCAGCGACGCCGCGUGAGUGAAGAAGUAUUUCGGUAUGUAAAGCUCUAUCAGCAGGGAAGAAAAUGACGGUACCGGAUUAAUAACCCCCCGCUAACUACGUGCCAGCAGCCGCGGUAUUACGUAGGGGGCAAGCGUGAUCCGGAUGUACUGGGUGGAAAGGGAGCGUAGACGGCAGCACAAGUCUGGUGUGAAAUGCCGGGGCUUAACCCCGGCACUGCAUUUGAAACUGUGCAGCUAGAGUGCAGGAGAGGUAAGUGGAAUUCCUAGUGUAGCGGUGAAAUGCGUAGAUAUUAGGAGGAACACCAGUGGCGAAGGCGGCUUACUGGACUGUAACUGACGUUGAGGCUCGAAAGCGUGGGGAGCAAACAGGAUUAGAUACCCCGGUAGUC